rnacentral:antisense_RNA from 1 species
CCGGUGCCGCUGUUCAUCGGGCCGCGCGGGGAAGGCGGCGGCCAAGAUGCGCUCCGUCACGUAGUGCCUGGUACUGGAUAGGAACUUCAUGGAAUGGAGCUAAUGGGCCGUAGGGCAGGUUUGAGUCGUGCCACCCUGGAGCAGAAGGUGGAGGGUAGGGAUAAGGGUGGAGAGAAACUAGGAGAAAAGCACAGGAUGUAGAGGUCUAUUCGGCAUAAUCUUCUCCCUCAUUUUCAUCUUCACCAUCAACAGAGAGAGCAGCAUACUUGCUUGCAGAACUGAACUUCUGUAACACAACGAGAGUGACAGGAUAAUGAAGGCCCUGAAUUAUCACAUCAAAACCCAAGACACAGGAUACUGAUCCUUUGGCAAUGGGGGAUGACAGUCAGAUGACACCCACUUGCUUGCUCAUCAGCAUUGUCCACUGGAGAGGAGCUAGGGAAGAGGGUCAGAGGCACAUGUGAUCUUACUAUAGUCUCAUACCACCUCUACACCUUGCAGAAGGGAUGAGAACAAAGGAAGACAGAAACCAGGAAAAAGCUAAACUUCUUCCGCUAUUUCAGAUAAAGACCAAUGUCUUAUUUCCAAACACUUUGUAUUCCAAAUGGAAAGAAGUCCAACGGCAAAAAGUUUAGAAUACUAAGAAUUUUUCUUAGAAUGAAAAAUUGGGAGCA